rnacentral:rRNA from 1 species
AUACGGAGGGAGCUAGCGUUGUUCGGAAUUACUGGGCGUAAAGCGCGCGUAGGCGGCUGCUCAAGUCAGAGGUGAAAGCCCGGGGCUCAACCCCGGAACUGCCUUUGAAACUAGGUAGCUAGAAUCUUGGAGAGGUCAGUGGAAUCCCGAGUGUAGAGGUGAAAUUCGUAGAUAUUCGGAAGAACACCAGUGGCGAAGGCGACUGACUGGACAAGUAUUGACGCUGAGGUGCG